rnacentral:tRNA from 1 species
CUAUUGUAGUUUACCUUAAAACGUUACAUUUUCAAUGUAAAAUUGACUAUGUCCAAAAGUAA